rnacentral:rRNA from 1 species
UACGUAGGGACCGAGCGUUGUCCGGAUUCAUUGGGCGUAAAGAGCUCGUAGGCGGCUGCUCAAGUCGAAUGUGAAAACUCGAGGCUCAACCUCGAGCCUGCAUUCGAUACUGGGCGGCUAGAGUCUGGUAGGGGGAGUCGUGGAAUUCCUGGGUGUAGCGGGUGGAAUGCGCAGAUAUCAGGAGGAACACCGGUGGCGAAGGCGGUUCUCUGGGCCUUACCUGACGCUGAGGAGCGAAAGCAUGGGGAGCAAACAGG